GGCCUAAAGACAUUUCAAAAAUAAAAUCAUUCUCAGCUGAAAGAACUUGACAUGAAAUACGAAUAUCAGAAGAUGGAUGUGCCAAUCACUGCUGUGACUGUGCAAUUGUGACUCUUCACUAAACUUCUGCUUAGAUUGUUACUAAUGUUGAACAUGCUAAGUCUUGAUGUAUGCUGGGAGAACUGCACAUUACGUCAAAGAACAACAGAGCCAUUACUCACUUAAGAAAGCAACAGGGCUUCUUGGAAUUAGGACAGAUAAUGUAAUUCCAGUGAACUGUGAUAAAAGAUUGCACCCAAGAUUAAAGCACAGAUGACAGAAGGAGUGGCAACAGCUGACAACCAGCCACAAGCAUGCUCCCUCUCCUACUGCUUGCUGGGAAUAUACUCUUCUCAUCCCAUGAGGCCUCUGACAAAGAUUUCAAAGCAGAACAGAAUUCUCCAUGCAAGUGGAACAACGAGAGGAAAACAGCAUGAUUAUUUGGCAAGGGAGAAGAAACAAGUCAUUUGAAAGCAAAAUUAUCAUCUUCAUCACAAGUGCCUGCCUUCUGACCAAAUGUUUCUGAAUAUUUCCAUUCAGAUGCAGACAGUGGCAAUGCCAUGAAAGAUGACAUUGUCCCUAAGGCCAGGAGUGUGGAAGGAGCAGAGGGUUCUGAUCACAGCUGACCUGUAUCCUCUGAUGCUUUGUUCUCAUCCUGAACUAAACAAAACAAAACCUAAAAUAAUUGGGCAGAUAUUGUCCUCAUUUACACCUCUGAAAAUCCUGUUACAUUCAGCAAGGCUUUACAAAGAAGACAAAACUCAUCCCUUGCAAAUUAACAAAUGAACACAUAAUGAAAAAUAAAUUGGUUGCUUUUCAUUUC